rnacentral:rRNA from 1 species
AGAGUUUGAUCAUGGCUCAGGAUGAACGCUAGCGGCAGGCUUAACACAUGCAAGUCGAGGGGUAAAUAACUAGCUUGCUGGUUAUGAGACCGGCAAACGGGUGCGGAACACGUACACAACCUACCUUUAUCUGGGGGAUAGCCCAUAGAAAUGUGGAUUAAUUCCCCAUAGUAUAUUUGAUUGGCAUCAAUUGGAUAUUAAAGUUUUUCGGAUGAAGAUGGGUGUGCGUAAGAUUAGCUAGUUGGUAAGGUAACGGCUUACCAAGGCGACGAUCUUUAGCUGAUGUGAGAGCAUGAUCAGCCACACGGGCACUGAGACACGGGCCCGACUCCUACGGGAGGCAGCAGUGAGGAAUAUUGGUCAAUGGACGGAAGUCUGAACCAGCCAUGCCGCGUGAAGGAUGAAGGCGUUCUGCGUUGUAAACUUCUUUUAUUUGAGAAGAAACCACUUUUUUCUAAGAGUGUUGACGGUAUCAGAUGAAUAAGCACCGGCUAACUCCGUGCCAGCAGCCGCGGUAAUACGGAGGGUGCAAGCGUUAUCCGGAUUUACUGGGUUUAAAGGGUGUGUAGGCGGACUUUUAAGUCAGGGGUGAAAUCCCGAGGCUCAACCUCGGAACUGCCUUUGAUACUAUUAGUCUUGAAUUAUGUUGAGGUUGGCGGAAUAUAACAUGUAGCGGUGAAAUGCAUAGAUAUGUUAUAGAACACCGAUUGCGAAGGCAGCUGGCUAAACAUAUAUUGACGCUGAGGCACGAAAGCGUGGGUAGCGAACAGGAUUAGAUAC